CCUUCGGGGUACACGAGCGGCGAACGGGUGAGUAACACGUGAGUAAUCUGCCCCUCACUUCGGGAUAAGCCUCGGAAACGGGGUCUAAUACCGGAUAUGACCGCUUCUCGCAUGAGAUGGUGGUGGAAAGUUUUUUCGGUGGGGGAUGUGCUCGCGGCCUAUCAGCUUGUUGGUGGGGUAAUGGCCUACCAAGGCUUCGACGGGUAGCCGGCCUGAGAGGGUGACCGGCCACACUGGGACUGAGACACGGCCCAGACUCCUACGGGAGGCAGCAGUGGGGAAUAUUGGACAAUGGGCGGAAGCCUGAUCCAGCAACGCCGCGUGAGGGAUGACGGCCUUCGGGUUGUAAACCUCUUUCAGUAGGGACGAAGCGCAAGUGACGGUACCUACAGAAGAAGCACCGGCCAACUACGUGCCAGCAGCCGCGGUAAUACGUAGGGUGCGAGCGUUGUCCGGAAUUAUUGGGCGUAAAGGGCUCGUAGGCGGUUUGUCGCGUCGGGAGUGAAAACACCGGGCUUAACUCGGUGCUUGCUUUCGAUACGGGCAGACUAGAGGUAUUCAGGGGAGAACGGAAUUCCUGGUGUAGCGGUGAAAUGCGCAGAUAUCAGGAGGAACACCGGUGGCGAAGGCGGUUCUCUGGGAAUGACCUGACGCUGAGGAGCGAAAGUGUGGGGAGCGAACAGGAUUAGAUACCCUGGUAGUCCACACCGUAAACGUUGGGCGCUAGGUGUGGGGUCCAUUCCACGGAUUCCGUGCCGCAGCUAACGCAUUAAGCGCCCCGCC
rnacentral:rRNA from 1 species